UCUAGAACUCGAGAUAUGGGCUGAACACUGAAUAAUGUCUGGGCUGCAGGACAGAUUCAGACUUCUCCGUUGUUGCUACAUUUUGGACUUGAAAACGGCCUUGUUAAAUCUUGGACUCCAUGAAAGUUUUAGGCCUAUAUCUUAGCUUUUCAUC
rfam:Populus trichocarpa isolate Nisqually-1 chromosome 11, whole genome shotgun sequence.